rnacentral:rRNA from 1 species
UACGGAGGGGGCUAGCGUUGUUCGGAAUUACUGGGCGUAAAGCGCAGGUAGGCGGCUUUGCAAGUCAGAGGUGAAAGCCCGGGGCUCAACCCCGGAAUUGCCUUUGAGACUGCAUCGCUAGAAUUGUGGAGAGGUAAGUGGAAUUCCGAGUGUAGAGGUGAAAUUCGUAGAUAUUCGGAAGAACACCAGUGGCGAAGGCGACUUACUGGACACAUAUUGACGCUGAGGUGCGAAAGCGUGGGGAGCAAACAGG